UUGACCUUGGGCAAGGCUCAUGGUGACUCCAUUUCCCCAUAAUUAAAAUGGAAGGACCAUCGGGGGAAGAGGACAGAUUGCUGUUCUCACAUGCCAGCACCAACCACUGUGAUCCAGUCCCGAGGGCCACCGCUGGAUUUAAGCAGGGCUGUCUUCAGAGGUGUGGGAUGUCACCAUCCUGGGCCACACCUGAUUUGAGCACAAGCUCUAGGUCCCAGCAACUGGAGCUUGUUGUUUACACCAUUUCCCAGGGAGCAGGGUCACAGUAGGCCCUGGCUCAAGGGUCUAAUUUUAAACACUGGGUUUAAAAAAAGGCCAGAUCCUGGCUACCUCCAAGAUGCAUGCACUUUAGAAAGAUGACCCUGAGUGCAGAGGCCAGGAAAGGGGAAAUGAUCUCUCUCUACUCCUCCCUCUCCCCCUCCCUCCACAAACUCGAGCAAGUGCCUAUCUGCCAGGAGUGCCCAGCGGGGAGGAAGCAGUGCCCUGGGGCAGUUCCCAUUUCACCCUAAGUCAGGCGUCUCAAAGCUGCCUGACCUCAAGAAUCCCAUCUGGGGGCAUCAGUUCAAAAUAGAUCGCUAGCCCCCAGCCACGUGAUUCUUAGGGAUCUAUUUGGAUUUCUUAUUUCACAUGUGGUUUUCAUUUGUUUGGAGUUUUUUGUUUGUAUAUUUGCUUUCUAAUUUGUUUAGAUCAGAAUCCCAAAUGAGAUCUACACCUGGCAGUCCGUUGAUAUGGCUCCAAAUCUCCUGUACUCAGUUGAUUUCCCCUCCAUUUAUUCAUUCAUUUACUUACUUAGUUACUGUUUCUGUUUCCCUCUCUCUCUCCCUCUCUUCUUGCAAUUUAUCUCUAGAAGAAACCACCUGUAUAUCUAUAGAGUCUCUCACAUCUGAAGUUGGCUGACUGCAUUCCCCAAGGUGCCACUUAACAUGUUCCUCUGUCCCCUGUAGUUCCUAUAAAUUGUUCAAAUCCAGGGACCUGAUCAGAUUCCGGUUUGAGUUUAGGGCAAGACUAUUUGCUGGGUGCCGCAUGUUCUUCCAUCAGGAGGCUCAUACUCUCUUUUUGUGAUGCGAGCAGCUGUAGCUGCCCAAUUCAACCAUUAGGGGUUACCCAGUGGAGCUCAAAUCCUUUUUGGUACAACAAAUGUGUGCUGACAGUAGGAGUAGGCACAUCCUCUGAGCCUCUGUUGCCCCACCUGUAAAAUGCGGAUGCUGGUGAACUCACAGACUUAUUCUGGCAACGUAAUUGGAGGACUCAGGUCCCAGAACAGCAGAAUUCAGAUCCUGGCACCCUUACUCAGCUCCCUGUUCUGCAAUGGGCAAGUUGCUUCACCUCUCUGUGCCUCAGUUUCCUCAUGUGUAAAAUGGAGAUGAUAACAGUACCUACCGUA